UGCUUGCUAGCUCAGCUAGCUCUGGGGAACAGGUACUGGAGGAAAAGCAGCUCUACCUACCACAUCAAACAAGCCAAUAGAUGGCCUCCUGAGACUCCCUGUUUGCAGAGUUUUCCCUGGCUGGAAAUUUUUUCUAUGAAUAAAUAGAAGCAGGAAAC